GCUCGACGGCGACGAUCACCAACACUCCUACUAAAGAUCUUCUCACUGUUGUUGCGACCGAUUCCAUCUCCAUUCUCGUUGAAGCUGUUACAAAGAAGUUUCUAGAACUCUGUGGAGAACAUAUGGAUCUUGCAUCAACAACAGCGAUGUGAACGACAUGUUCACCCAGGCGCCUUCCUUCGGGAUCAAAUCCAGCUCCGGCAAGGUUGACGCAUCACAACCAGCCUAAGUGUUUGAGAAAAAGUUUAAGAGACAUAAAGAGCUUCUCAAGAACCUCACUGAAGCUACUGUGUAGCCCAACUGUUCAAGUGUUAUGAAUUUUCAAUCUAUGGUACUCUUUUGAAUAUUUAGAUAGGGUUGAGAUAAUAGUUGCCCAUAUGGUGGGUGGAGUUGAUGCUUCCCUUAAGAUGUCUCAAGGUUGGCCAGUGUCAAAUCAUGCAUUAAAGUUGAUAUCACUCAAGCACUCCAGUCAAUAUUCAAAGGAAAUUUCACCGAGCUUUCUCUGCAAGGUUGAGAGAAAUUCUCUACAUGUAAUUUUGUGAAUUUUCUCUGGAUGUGGCGGCGGAGGAAGAGGAGGAAGAGACUCGUCGUCAUCAUUGACAGCAUUGAGAUCAAUCAAACCACACAUCUUUGUGGGGAAAUUUUCUAGAAGAAAAGAAACUGUGGAAUUGAAAAGAAAUGGAGAAGAGAUUGAAAUUUGUUCAUAUAUACAAAUAUAGAUAUACUGUGAGCAAAUCAAAUUAAAUUUUCUCUGGACUGUGUGAAUUUUCUCUGAAUGUGGGAACUGUGUGAAUUUUCUCUGGUUGUGAUCAUUGUUUGUAAUUUUGUGAAUUUUCUCUGACUGUAUAAAAUUU